CUUCUGGGGACACAGACGGACUCUCUGUGGCUACCGUCAUCUACCGACACCGAGAAUAACCCACUUCUUUGAGCUCCACGCCUCCACAAACACUCUGUCGUGCCAGAACUCAAUCAGUGUGCCCCCCACCUAAAACGUUAUAAAUUUGAUCCAGAAAAUAUUCUUUGUCCAAGUGUGGAUUUAUUUCAAAACUGUCGAGAUUUAUAUAUUAUUUUAUUACAUAUGAUAAGCAAUUUUUAGCUUAAAGUAAAAACUUUCACAUUUAAGGUGUUUUUUAAAAAAAAGAUACUUUAAAACCAGACAUUUUUAAAAGAGCUUGCGGCACAGUCUUAAAUAUUCACAUCUUAGAUGCUGCUUAGAAAAGGUUAAAAAACCAGGGAAAAAAUCAUUUACAAUUGGCAGAGAUUAAAAGCUCCUAAUCUGCGGGGAGAGCAUGUUAACGACACAACAUGAAUUUCACGUUACGAGUGUUUAACAGUUUAAUCAAGCGUGGCCUUUCCGCCAGCACACAAAAUGGUCACGACGGUCACGGCAGCUGUAGGGGGAGUGAUUACUGCAUCGGGAAAGGCGUACUUCACCAAAAACACAACAUCAGUCCUUCCAAUGCUCUUUUCAAAGAAUUUCUCAUUUUCAACUUAAGAGAGAAGAGCAGCAUUUAAUUACUGCAUCCCUGGUUGGGGGG